CUCACCCAGGAUCACCAAGGUCUCUCCUACCCCGGGGCCUGUGCACCUGCUGUGCCUCUGCUUGGGGUGCUCUUCCCAGGGCUUGCCCACCUCCUCAGAGAGGCCUCCUGACCCCUGACACGGCCUUGCCCUUCACCUCUAUCGUCCUUUAGAACAGCCCCCACCUCCCGCACAUCAUGCAGUUGCAGGUUCAAUGGCUACUGCUUGUCCUCCAGACUCGAUAGGCCUCAUCACUCCUCAGAUGAUUCUCGAAGGAUAACACACAGGCCAGUGGGCAGCCCUAGGCCAGGGGGAUUACCAAGACAUGAAGACUUUCUUUCUGUCUCAGCAACCUUCAUGCUUGGUCAAGCAAAGGUGUUGCUUAAGUCAAACCCAGGGCAGGGGAGAGCAGUUGAAGCAAAGUGAGUCUUUGGAGGCCCUGUGGUUGUGGGGUCUGGUGUGGAGACAGUGAGAACGGAAAAGGUGGGAGAGGAGCAGUCAACCCGUGAAUGGCCCCAUUCAGACGCCUUUACCUGGAAGACGUGGCAGGUCUACUGGGGUUCAUCCCAUCUGAGCCAGGCCUGGCUUUUCUUGGCUGCAAGCUGAGAGCUGGGUCCAGGUCUGCUGAACCAAGGUUCUCCCAUCUUCCUUGAGCCAGUGACAAUCAGAGGCCUAUUUCUUUCAUGACGGAAGGCAGGAGAACAAGCAGCUCCCGGCUCACCCACCCAGCAGCUCAGCACCUGCGAAAUCCGUCUCCCGAUGCACACUUGCUAACCGCGUGGGUGUGAGCACAACGAUGGGAAACAGCGGAAGUCCCCGGAGUGCAGACUCAGGAGUGAACCUGCCUGAAGAGUGGCGUCUAACGCACACACUGUGGUCAGCUCCACCCCACUAUGGGUCCCGGGAAUAGGAGCAAGUAUGUAUUUUGCUUGCAGGGCAGGUGUUUCAUCCACAUUAUUGCAGGAACAGAUGAAUUUAAUUAAAAGAACACCACAGUGGGCACCUCUUCCAGGGAUGUCUCCCUCUAAGAACAUGACACUGAGAUGAUCAAGGUUCUAAAAGGGCGAUCAAAUUACUCUCCGAAAAUGAAACUGCUCAGACAGAAUGACAAUUAAAUUAAUAACAACCAAGACAAUGCCCAGAUUUCAUCUCCGCUCACAGCCCCUCCUGUGUGCUGUAUGAUCAGGUUCUUGGGGUGGCUCCAGAUACAGCAAACAGUCAGGAUUAAUCCACAAGAGUGAGCUGUCAGCAUGAGGUUCCCCUACAGUGGAGCUUGCCAAGGUCCGUGCCUCCCAGGGCACCCGUUCCAGGGCUAACAGAUGAAGCAUGGAAAUGCUGUGUGGAGUGAGCUAAGCAGCCGUUCUCAGGAGAAAACAGACAAAUCCUCCUGCAUCCUGGCAAACCAGCUUUGUGGCCUGUUUUAUGUCAUCUUUGCUGAGCUCCACCGGGUCACCCCUCCUGUUGGCUUUGUGAUACUGACAUUUCAGGCACUGGCACAGAUACAUUGGCCUUCCUGGCUGGGAUUUCACGGACGGAGUGAGCAGUGCUGGCUUGGAGGAGCCGUGGCGGCACAGGGCCUGUGCUCUCAGCUGAUCAACGCCUUGAUAGCCAGGAAAGGCCUGUCCUACCCCAAAGGGCCCUCGCAGCACUGUUUGAAAUUGCUCUUGCCAUCUUUGGAAUGGAUUCCUCAGUACAUUUCAGACUCGUUGUUGUGACUUUGGUUUUAAUCCAGGGACACACCGUGGCCAGUGGAGUGUCUCAACAGCAUCUAUGAUCGCUGUUUCCCAGAGACAGCAUCUCAGAUACCGAUGCUGAAAGAGAAACAGCAGCCUGUCCCCAAGUGGCAGGAAAUAGUCCAUUUUAAUGGCAAUUUCAUAAGUGGCAGAUGAUUUUUAUUGUAAUUUUCUGGUGAGCUGAUUAAGUGGAGGCAGAGUCAGUUCUGAGGCGUCAAUGUCUUUAACAAUUCGGGGAGACGGAGGCCACGCUCAGCAGGAACACUGAGUCCAUGGAAAACAGGCCCUGGGCCCGCUGAUGUGCAUAAUUCCACGUUUGCCCCUCAUGUAACCAGGAUGGUAAAUUACAGGUGUCAGAUAAUCACGCUCUGGAGUGGCUACUUGAGGAUGCGAUCGACCAAUUUAAGCUCCGUCUGACACAUGAUCAAUAGCCCGUGAUGCUGCAUGGAAUUGCAGGCACAGUGUCCAAACCUGCAGAGCAGUGGCUCCCAGCUGGGGCAACUUUGCCCCCCAGAGGACAUUUGGCAAUGUCUGGAUAUGUUUGCAAUUGUCACAACUAGGAAAGGAGGUACCCAUAGGAUACACAGGAAAGUCCUCACACAGUUGUAUCCUGCCCAGACUGUCCGUAGAGCCAGGGUGAGAUGCUCUGACAGAGCCACAGUGAACAUUGCAUUCCAUCAUCUGGGUAUCUCCAGGAAUGUAUGUAGCUGGAUGUCUGGCUUUUCAUCUGGGUUUCACGAGCCUCCUGCAGAACUGAAACCAUGUGCAAAUCAGUUCUCAUACUUGCUCUCCUGCCUCCUUCCUAUUGUAAUUUUUUCUUCCCACCUUUUUUAUUGUUACUAGAGAAAUGAUGAAGAAAAAGAAUAGGCUGGAGAGUCACUCAAAAUUUUGUUUUCCUCAAUUAAAAAGAAGUAAUUUAGAAGUUACUCAAUGAUGUUUUCUUUAAUUAAAAAAAAAAGUAGUUUGGGAAAGCAGAAAAUUAAUGAAGACAGAAAACACAGGUUUCAUGAAAAAGUUCAGCAUCCCAGGAAAGGAGCAAAGAGAAGUCUGCAGAUGAGAGUUGCUCAGUGUCAGGACUCAGAAAACAAUACCCCAAGAUAAUGUUCAAACCUGAGUGCUUUGAACAAAGGAUAUUGAAAGACCUCAGAAGAGGGCCUCAGAACUCACAUGUCUCUCUGACCUUCUCCUGUCUCUCCUUCACUUCCAAAGCAUGAUCUUUGGCCAGGGGAUCUCUCUGGGAUUCCCUUAUCUGCCUGAGGGAUGUACUUCCAAAAGAAAUGUGACUGGCAUGACCUCCUCCCUAGGAAUCUCUUCAAACAGCCGGGAAAGACUGGUCACCUGAGAGGAGAUUGGAAGUCCUCACUGCACUCAGAAAGGCUGUUGUCCAUUCUUCUAGAGACUUUAUCUGAAUAACAAGGCAACUUUUGUUUACCAUUCAGUUCCUCCCCUUUCCUUUCUAACUUGUCACCACCUCCCCCAAAAGCCUCAAGCCUCCACUCCUACAAGCUAUAAAGACUUCAAC
rnacentral:lncRNA from 1 species